GAUGAACGCUAGCUACAGGCUUAACACAUGCAAGUCGAGGGGAAACGAUAUUGGAAGCUUGCUUCUGAUAGGCGUCGACCGGCGCACGGGUGAGUAACGCGUAUCCAACCUGCCCAUCACUUGGGGAUAACCUUGCGAAAGUAAGACUAAUACCCAAUGACGUCUCUAGAAGACAUCUGAAAGAGAUUAAAGAUUUAUCGGUGAUGGAUGGGGAUGCGUCUGAUUAGCUUGUUGGCGGGUAACGGCCCACCAAGGCGACGAUCAGUAGGGGUUCUGAGAGGAAGGUCCCCCACAUUGGAACUGAGACACGGUCCAAACUCCUACGGGAGGCAGCAGUGAGGAAUAUUGGUCAAUGGACGAGAGUCUGAACCAGCCAAGUAGCGUGCAGGAUGACGGCCCUAUGGGUUGUAAACUGCUUUUAUAAGGGAAUAAAGUGGGAGUCGUGACUCUUUUGCAUGUACCUUAUGAAUAAGGAUCGGGCUAACUCCGUGCCAGCA
rnacentral:rRNA from 1 species